rnacentral:tRNA from 1 species
AGCUCCGAGGUGUUGUACAUAUCAGAUUGCAAAUCCGAAGAAGCAGGUUAGGCGCCUGCCGGGGCUU